AUUUCCCAGUCGAAUGAAUUGGGAACAUAAAGCGAGUGUCUGUAGUGGAUACAUGCUUGGUGAAUAUGUUUUAUAAAUCCUAUCCACCCCGUGGAUAGGUAGUCGGCAAAACGUCGAACUGUCAUAAGAAUUGAAACGCUGGCACACUGUUGGGUCCUGAGGCAACACGUUGUGUUGUCACCCUGCUUGGUGGUGGGGUGUGGUCCUUGACUUA
rnacentral:misc_RNA from 1 species